ensembl:lncRNA novel transcript, antisense to SPTBN5
GUUCUGCCCAGUGGCCUGGCGCAGGAAAGGUGACCCAGUAGUUCAGCCUGUCCCAGCUGCCUGCCCCAGCACCAUCCCAGACCCCUUUCCCUGGGGCCCACCUUGGCCCUGAGGAAGGCCAGAGCUCGGCUGCUGUUCUCCAGGAAGUGCACACGCAGGCGGCCCCGGCUCGGGGGUGGCAGGGCCUCCCCUGAGAUGAGCUCCAGCAGCCGCAGGAGGUGGAUGCCGUCAGCCAGCUCUGUGUACAGGUUCCGGAUCUUGAUGCCCGCCUGGGGAGGGGACAGGGGUAAGUAUGGGGUCAGCCCAGCCUCACCUGUCCUCCCAUCCUGGGACCUGAGAGGUACGACCCAGAGCAGCUGCUUUGGAAGAAGGAGCUCUGGCCUCAGCUUGGCCUCAGGCAGAUGACCCCACAGCUCACCCCGGAGGCCCACUGGCCAGAGCUGGGGGCCUGGUAUGGGUGGGCUGUGGGUCACAGCUGGCUAUACUCACCUGGCCGCACUGGAAGACGUUAUUGAUCCACUUGGUGAAAGUCUUCUCCUGCAUCUGCAUGUGCCGGGCCUGUAGCUUGCGAAUGUGGCCCGUCUCGUACUGAGAGUCCAUGGUGAGACUUGGACUGGGCGGGACCCGGAGUUCUGUGCUGGGCCUCCUGCUGCGGUGCCCUGCAGCCCCGAGGAGCUCCCGGGGACUGUGGGGCUGACCAGCCAUCAGCCCUGCAGACUUUGGGGAUGAGGAGCUGCUGGAUGGCUCCCUAAACCUGGAGGGCAUGCAGAUUAGGGGAUGAUGUGAAUGGAGAUGGCCCCUCUACCAGGGGCCUGGGGUCCCGCCUUGCCAGACUGUCCUCACAUUUCAUGGGGGUUGCAGCUUGGAGCCCAGCCAGGUAAGGGCCAGUGCUUCUGGUCCCCUGUGCUUGAAUGGCCCAGGGCCCCCUUUGCCCCACCCCACCUUCCAGAUUCUUCUUCUCAGAGCCCCUGCUGCCAGGUCCCUCCACCACAGUGACUGGGACAGGUGGAAGGAAGACAGGAAACUGCUUACCUUGGUGAUGCCUGGGUCCCACAGAGACGGCUCUGCUGGACGGAUGGAGAUGGUAGAUAGCAGGGGCUGCUUACCUUGGUGAUGCCUGGGUUCCACAGAGGCGGCCCAGCUGGACGGAUGGAGAUGGCAGAUAGCAGGGGCUGUGGAGGGAGGGAGAGGGACAUCAGGAGAGGCCAAGGCUGGAGCAGGGCUGCACCACAGCCCUCCCCUUGAGCCAGCGUGCUGGGGUGACGGCACACAGGCGGCAUUGUCCUCCCACCUGCCACAGGGCGUGGCCCAGACAGGGAGGGGGUGGUUCAGGAAUGCUCCAGGGCCAUUGCCAGAUGAUGUCCUCCUUCAUCAUCCUCCCUUCCCCGCCAGCAACUUCUCCAACUCCAGGUGGGGGUCCUGGCUCCCAGGACGCAGAGGCCCAUGGAGCGGCCCUGCCACCGCAUGGGGUGCUGCAGUCUGCGUAGGAGGUACCAAAGGGCAGAGCCUCUGUGGGAAGCCUGUGGACGCACUUCCCAAUCUGAGACUGCCCUCUGUACCCUCUUGGGGCCUCUCUGUGAGCACCCAGGGCGAGGGGAUGAGGGAGCGUCCUGGGCCGUGGUCUUCUCAUUCACCCCCAGGGAACAGCCCAUAGACUGAGGGCCUCACAGACCCUGGGCUUGGCUUUCCAGGCCCUGCCAGAGUGCAGCCUGCCUAGCCCGGGGCUGAAGGGUAGGCUCCCUGGAGGAAGGGGUGACCUGGAACUGCGAGGGCUGUGGAGUCUCCUCCAAAAUUAGAGACACGGUGUUAACUCUGGGCUCCACAGAGCUGGCCGUGGCCCGGGGCUCGGAGGCAGGGGUGCAGAGGGAGCUGGUGGGCGCCCAUCCCUUCCUCCCCGAGCAGCCGUGGACUACAUGCCAGAGUGAAGGCGAGUUCUAAUUCUGGGGGUCUCACCCGCCUCUGGCUAAACUCAGGGUAGCAGUGUGGGCUGGGGUGUGUGUGUGUGGGUGUCUUCCAGCGGCCCUGGAGCCUCUGAAGCGACAGCCCGCUCCUCAGGGAGGCGCUCCUGGCAGCCACAGCCCACAGCAGGACAGCCGCUCAGCGCGCCCUUGAGAGCUGGGCUAGGGAUGAGUCACACUUGAACCGCCUGGGCCCACUGCAGGCAGUCAGGGGUGACGCUGAGAGGUGCCGUGGUCUCGGGUGGGGUGCGGCUUCCUGCGUCUGAGAGACGCUUCCUCUCCUGCUGUCCUCUCCCUGCCAGGCCCCUUCUGCAGCGGCUGGCUUCCAGACACCCUGCGUCCCUCCCUUGCUCGCAGCAGUUGCUGUGGCGGUCCUCCCGUGCACCCCCCCUUCUGCCCUCACUGCCCCUGGGGGUCCUCAUCACGGACCCCCUAACUCGGCAUCCUGGACACCACCACCCCGCACCUUUCCACAGUGCAGCUCUGCUCGUGCCUGUGAAGCCUCCCACAGCCUGGGAAGGAAAAUCCAGACUUGCCAGACCUUGCCUCAGCCAGGCCUUGGAAGCCUGCCAGCUUACCUAACCAGUAAGACCCUCAGCCCAUGGAGUCCUGUGUGAUGUUGUGAGCGUGGGAGGACAGACUGAACUGCUCGGCCCGUGGAGUCCUGUGUGAUGUUGUGAGCGGGGAGGACAGACUGAACUGCGUGGUGCUUCGCACAUAGACCUCAACAGGGAUUGGCAUUUUGAAGCUGUUGGCGGGGGCUGUGGACUGCUUUUCUUCCUUUCUAGCUCAACGGCAGCUAAAGCCACUGCAUACAAUGCAAGGACUGGCUCCUGUUUGGCCACGACUGAUUGCAGCCCCUGGUGAAAUGAGAACCCUGUGGGUCGGAACAAAGUUUGGAUUAUUUAUGUUGCAAGUAACUAAAAUCUCAAGUGAAACUGG